rnacentral:rRNA from 1 species
GACGAACGCUGGCGGCGUGCCUAAUACAUGCAAGUUGAGCGAUGAAGAUUGGUGCUUGCACCAAUUUGAAGAGCAGCGAACGGGUGAGUAACGCGUGGGGAAUCUGCCUUUGAGCGGGGGACAACAUUUGGAAACGAAUGCUAAUACCGCAUAACAACUUUAAACAUAAGUUUUAAGUUUGAAAGAUGCAAUUGCAUCACUCAAAGAUGAUCCCGCGUUGUAUUAGCUAGUUGGUGAGGUAAAGGCUCACCAAGGCGAUGAUACAUAGCCGACCUGAGAGGGUGAUCGGCCACAUUGGGACGGGGACACGGCCCAAACUCCUACGGGAGGCAGCAGUAGGGAAUCUUCGGCAAUGGACGAAAGUCUGACCGAGAAACGCCGCGUGAGUGAAGAAGGUUUUCGGAUCGUAAAACUCUGUUGGUAGAGAAGAACGUUGGUGAGAGUGGAAAGCUCAUCAAGUGACGGUAACUACCCAGAAAGGGACGGCUAACUACGUG